ensembl:snoRNA
GCAGACUCACUCUGUACAUGACUGCCUUCCUCAGUCUUGCUGCUUUUCCAGUCUGCUAGAGAAGUGACCCAUGCUACUGCAAACACCUUUCUCUGGUGAAAGGCCAUUGCAUCUGCUUGGGAAACAUCC